rnacentral:rRNA from 1 species
AACGAACGCUGGCGGCAUGCCUAACACAUGCAAGUCGAACGAGACCUUCGGGUCUAGUGGCGCACGGGUGCGUAACGCGUGGGAACCUGCCCUUAGGUUCGGAAUAACUCCCCGAAAGGGGUGCUAAUACCGGAUAAUGUCUUCGGACCAAAGAUUUAUCGCCUUUGGAUGGGCCCGCGUUGGAUUAGCUAGUUGGUAGGGUAAAAGCCUACCAAGGCGCCGAUCCAUAGCUGGUCUGUGAGGAUGAUCAGCCACACUGGGACUGAGACACGGCCCAGACUCCUACGGGAGGCAGCAGUGGGGAAUAUUGGAAAAUGGGCGAAAGCCUGAUCCAGCAAUGCCGCGUGAGUGAUGUAGGCCUUAGGGUUGUAAAGCUCUUUUACCCGGGAUGAUAAUGACAGUACCGGGAGAAUAAGCUCCGGCUAACUCCGUG